GUAAUCCAUUGGUCUUAGGAGCCA
rnacentral:piRNA from 1 species